rnacentral:rRNA from 1 species
GGACCUGACUGCUAUCGGAUUGAUACUAAGCCAUGCGAGUCAUUGUAGCAAUACAAGGCAUACGGCUCAGUAACGCGUAGUCAACCUAACCUAUGGACGGGAAUAACCUCGGGAAACUGAGAAUAAUGCCCGAUAGAACAUUAUGCCUGGAAUGGUUUAUGUUCCAAAUGAUUUAUCGCCGUAGGAUGGGACUGCGGCCUAUCAGUUUGUUGGUGAGGUAAUGGCCCACCAAGACUAUUACAGGUACGGGCUCUGAGGGGAGUAGCCCGGAGAUGGGUACUGAGACACGGACCCAGGCCCUAUGGGGCGCAGCAGGCGAGAAAACUUUGCAAUGUGCGAAAGCACGACAAGGUUAAUCCGAGUGGUUUCUGCUAAAGAAACCUUUUGUCAGUCCUAGAAACACAAGGGAAUAAGGGGUGGGCAAGUUCUGGUGU